UACAUUUUUUUUGUUUUAAAUAUACCGCUUGUAUAUUUUUUUUGUUGUUCAAAAAUAUCCCUGUUGUUAAUAUCUGUUAAAUCAUAUUGGAUUAAAUCUGAAUUAAAUUUCUAAUAAAGUUAAAAAAAGUCAAAAUAUCACUUUUUCCCCCAACUAAAGGGCAAAUAAGAAAAGAUAGUAAUUUAACUCUAAGAUAUAUUUGAAAUAACUUGGAAUAUUAAAAGGACAUUUUUAACACUAGUCUUUUAAGAGAGAAAAUAUAUUUCUCUUAUGAUCUGUCCAAUCUAAAAUUCUACCUAUGGUCGGCAGCUCGAAUCAACCUAUCUAUUGUUUUUUUUUCCUAUUUUUUAUUCAUACUUUUAUAAAAAAAAAAUAGAUUUUAGUUAUUUUAAUUAAAAUAAAAUUUUAAAAUAAUAAAAUUAUCAUUAAAGUAACUAUAUUGUAAAUGACAUUUAUAUUAGGAAUAAAAUAUUUAGAACUCGAAUAAUAUUCUAAACAAAUAAAAAUUAUUUUAUAAUUGAAAUAUUUAUUUGUGGACACAUUUGGCACAGAUCAACGACUGGUUUUGUUUGGCAGAUUCAGAACAGAUCAAUUGAUUUUGUCAUCGUCUUCUGCCCCAAUUUCAUACUGGCUCAUAAAAAUAGCCACAUU
rnacentral:lncRNA from 1 species